rnacentral:rRNA from 1 species
UACGGAAGGGGCUAGCGAUGUUCGGAAUUACUGGGCGUAAAGAGCGCGUAGGCGGCUUACCAUGUUGGGGGUGAAAUCCCGGAGCUCAACUCCGGAACAGCCUUCAAAACUGGUAGGCUCGAGUCCGGAAGAGGGGCGUGGAAUUCCCAGUGUAGAGGUGAAAUUCGUAGAUAUUGGGAAGAACACCGGUGGCGAAGGCGGCGCCCUGGUCCGGUACUGACGCGGAGGCGCGAAAGCGUGGGGAGCAAACAGG